rnacentral:guide_RNA from 1 species
AAAAUAAACAGAAUUAUAACGUUGUAAAGAGAGUAAGUUAUAUGGUAAU